rnacentral:rRNA from 1 species
UACGAAGGGGGCUAGCGUUGCUCGGAAUCACUGGGCGUAAAGCGCACGUAGGCGGCUUCUUAAGUCAGGGGUGAAAUCCUGGAGCUCAACUCCAGAACUGCCUUUGAUACUGAGUAGCUUGAGUCCGGGAGAGGUGAGUGGAACUGCGAGUGUAGAGGUGAAAUUCGUAGAUAUUCGCAAGAACACCAGUGGCGAAGGCGGCUCACUGGCCCGGUACUGACGCUGAGAUGCGAAAGCGUGGGGAGCAAACAGG